rnacentral:rRNA from 1 species
GACGAACGCUGGCGGCGUGCUUAACACAUGCAAGUCGAACGGAAAGGCCCUGCUUUUGUGGGGUUCUCGAGUGGCGAACGGGUGAGUAACACGUGAGUAACCUGCCCUUGACUUUGGGAUAACUUCAGGAAACUGGGGCUAAUACCGGAUAGGAGCUCCUGCUGCAUGGUGGGGGUUGGAAAGUUUCGGCGGUUGGGGAUGGACUCGCGGCUUAUCAGCUUGUUGGUGGGGUAGUGGCUUACCAAGGCUUUGACGGGUAGCCGGCCUGAGAGGGUGACCGGCGACAUUGGGACUGAGAUACGGCCCAGACUCCUACGGGAGGCAGCAGUGGGGAAUAUUGCACAAUGGGCGGAAGCCUGAUGCAGCAACGCCGCGUGCGGGAUGACGGCCUUCGGGUUGUAAACCGCUUUCGCCUGUGACGAAGCGUGAGUGACGGUAAUGAGUAAAGAAGCACCGGCUAACUACGUG